UCAGACGAUGCGUCAUGCAUAUCAAUAAGCGGAGGAAAAGAAACUAACAAGGAUUCCCCUAGUAACGGUGAGUGAAGCGGGAAGAGCUCAAAUUUGAAAUCUUAAAGGGUUUCCCUUUACGAAUUGUAGUUUAAAGAAGUGUUUUCUGUUGAGGUUUUGGUAAAAGUUCUUUGGAAUAGGACAUCAUAGAGGGUGAGAAUCCCGUAUUUGACCUUUACUUUCAACUUUGUGAUACACUUUCAAAGAGUCGGAUUGUUUGGGAAUGCAGUCCAAAAUGGGUGGUAAAUUUCAUCUAAAGCUAAAUAUUGGCGAGAGACCGAUAGCGAACAAGUACCGUGAGGGAAAGAUGAAAAGAACUUUGAAAAGAGAGUUAAACAGUACGUGAAAUUGUCAAAAGGGAAGCGUUUGACACCAGUGUUGUUUUUCUGAAAAUCAAUUAAAGAACUGUUUAUGCUAAGUUGUUUAGACUUUAUCAGCUAUCUGUUUAGUUUUGAGCUUUUCUUUAAUGCACUUUUCAGUUAACAAGUCAACAUCAAUUUCUUUUGCUGUAAAAGAGCCUGAGGAGGGUGGCUUGAGAUUCGUCUUAAGUGUUUAUAGCCUCUUGCCUAUGCAGUCGGAGAGAUUGAGGUCUGCAGCGUAGAUCCUUCGGGGCUAAAUGCAUUUGUGCUAAGUUAUAGCAUUUUAUAGACAACUUGUUGACUAUGAUUUGUCUUGUAGCUUACUCGCUUAUGUUAUUUUACCUACGCUUAGGAUGUUGACACACGCGCGUGCUCG
rnacentral:rRNA from 1 species